rnacentral:lncRNA from 1 species
AUUCAAAAGGAAUUGAUAGGAUUUUCUCUCUCCAAUUAUCUCCUACAAUAAGAUAAGAGGUAAGAAGCAAGGAAGACUGUUUAUGAAUAGAACUUUUCAGUUCCAAUGCGCGGAAUCGAAAAAAAAAAGACUAUCUUUCUUUCGGGGUCAUAGAUCAGAGAAUUCCCUAUUUCAAGCUUCCUUUAGGCAAAAAAGUUAGCAAAGGUACAGACAGCCCGAUCUAGCCAGUGAGCAAAUAUGUCCGCUUUCGAUUCAAUAUCUUUC